rnacentral:rRNA from 1 species
GUCCCAGACUCCUACGGGAGGCAGCAGUGGGGAAUAUUGGUCAAUGGCCGGAAGGCUGAACCAGCCAAGCCGCGUGAGGGAGGAAGGCGCAGAGCGUCGCAGACCUCUUUUGCCGGGGGACAAAAGGCCGGACUCGUCCGGUCCUGAGGGUACCCGGAGAAAAAGCAUCGGCUAACUCCGUGCCAGCAGCCGCGGUAAUACGGAGGAUGCGAGCGUUAUCCGGAUUUACUGGGCGUAAAGGGAGCGCAGGCGGCGCGCCAAGUCUGAUGUGAAACCCCGGGGCUCAACCCCGGGCAUGCAUUGGAAACUGGCGGGCUGGAGUGCCGGAGAGGUAAGCGGAAUUCCUAGUGUAGCGGUGAAAUGCGUAGAUAUUAGGAGGAACACCAGUGGCGAAGGCGGCUUACUGGACGGCAACUGACGCUGAGGCUCGAAAGCGUGGGGAGCAAACAGGAUUAGAUACCCGAGUACU